GCCGAGGGAAGGCACUGCCCGCUCAGUGAGACAUAGGUUGGGGAAAAGCCGCGUCUGUGAGGCGGGGUCUCAAGGCACGUGACCGCUGUCCGACCGGAAGUGGGGGCGUGGCCGCUGCGCGAGGGGGCCUGCCGAGCGCACGAGGCUGCUGUCCGUCAAGAAGGCCGGGUCGCGACCCCGCCCUCUAAAGGGGUCUUGGGCCCCGGACCUUUAUCGUCUGGGUGACGGCCGCUGAGGCGCAGGUGCGGCUGCCGAGUGCCCGCUGUCAGAUUUUGGUACCUGACGGAAGAGAGACGUGGCUCUUCCAACACCUCACCCAACCGUCGAGAUGCACUGGCAGCCCACCCACCACCCCCGUAAUAGCCGUGGUGUGCAGCAUUGACUGUGACUGAGCACCUUUACAUGAUCGGGAUGUAGAACACUCAGCUACUGCUCCAGCACCAUGCCUGCCUGUAUGCUGCCAUGCUCUCCACCAUGAUGGUCAUGGACUAACUGUCUGAAACUAUAAGCAAGCCCCCAAUUAAAUAUUUUCUUUUAUAAGAA